GAGNNUGGCUAGGAUGACGCUGGCGGCGUGCUUAACACAUGCAAGUCGAGCGAGGGAGCACCUUCGGGUGUGAACUAGCGGCGGACGGGUGAGUAACACGUGGGCAACCUGCCUUACAGAGGGGGAUAGCCUUCCGAAAGGAAGAUUAAUACCGCAUAUUAUGAUUUUUCUGCAUGGGAAAGUCAUGAAAGGAGCAAUCCGCUGUAAGAUGGGCCCGCGGCGCAUUAGCUAGUUGGUGAGGUAAGGGCUCACCAAGGCGACGAUGCGUAGCCGACCUGAGAGGGUGAUCGGCCACAUUGGGACUGAAACACGGCCCAGACUCCUACGGGAGGCAGCAGUGGGGAAUAUUGCACAAUGGGGGAAACCCUGAUGCAGCAACCCCCCCGGAGUGAUGACCGGCUUCGGGUUGUAAAGCUCUGUUCUUCAGGGACGAUAAUGACGGUACCUGAGGAGGAAGCCCCGGCUAACUACCUGCCAGCAGCCCCCGUAAUACCUAGGUGGCGAGCGUUAUCCCGAUUUUCUGGGCGUAAAGGAUGCGUAGGGGGGAUUUUAAGUGGGAUGUGAAAAACCCCGGCUCCACCUGGGAACUGCAUUCCCAACUGGGAUUCUAGAGUGCAGGAGAGGAAAGCGGAAUUUCUAGUGUAGCGGUGAAAUGCGUAGAGAUUAAGAAGAAAACCAUGGCGAAAGCGGCUUUCUGGACUGUAACUGACACUGAGGCAUGAAAGCGUGGGGAGCAAACAAGAUUAGAUACCCUGGGAGUCCACGCCCUAAACGAUGGGUACUAGGUGUAGGGGGGUUCGAUACCUCUGUGCCGCCGUAAACAACAUAAAUACCCCCCCUGGGGAGUACGGUCGCAGAUUAAAACUCUAAAGNAUUGACGGGGGGCCCCCACAAGUAGCAGAGCAUGNGGUUUAAUUCGUAGCAACGCNANAACCUUACCUNNACUU
rnacentral:rRNA from 1 species